GUAUAUUAAUGUUUCUGUAUAUGAAACGAUCACAAUAACACUAAUUUUUAAUUUUUUUUUAAAAGUCUUUAGACUUUCUUGAGAAGCGAUAACUAGCCAGUGUUGCACACAUACACCAGAUAUGAAGUGCAGGCACCAAACUGACUUUUUAGCACCUAAAGAAUUAGAAUUUUGAAAACUGCGCUGUAACCACAGUAUUUGACGGUUCUAUGUGACUCUCAGAUAUGAAGUGCACGCCUCAAAUUUACUUUUUAGCACCAAAGAAAUGUGAAUUUCUCAAAGUGCAAUAAAACCACAGUAUUUGACGGUUCUAUUUGACUCUCAGAUAUGAAGUGCACGCCCCAAAUUUACUUUUUAGCACCAAAUAAAUGUGAAUUUUUCAAAGUGCGAUGUAACCAC